rnacentral:rRNA from 1 species
UACGUAGGGUGCAAGCGUUAAUCGGAAUUACUGGGCGUAAAGCGUGCGCAGGCGGUUUGUUAAGACAGAUGUGAAAUCCCCGGGCUUAACCUGGGAACUGCGUUUGUAACUGGCAAGCUAGAGUGUGGCAGAGGUGGGUGGAAUUCCUAGUGUAGAGGUGAAAUUCGUAGAUAUUAGGAAGAACACCGGUGGCGAAGGCGGCCCACUGGCUCGAUACUGACGCUGAGGUGCGAAAGCGUGGGGAGCAAACAGG